CCAAGGAGUCUAACAUGUGUGCGAGUCGUAGGGAAGUUCUCGGACGAAACCCGAAGGCGUAAUGAAAGUGAAGGUCGGCAAAUCGUCGACCAAGGCGGGAUCCGUUCGGGCUUACGGUUCGGCCGAGCCCGGCGGCGCACCGCCGGCCCGUCUCGACCGCAGCGCCGGUGAGGCGGAGCAAGAGCAUACACGUUGGGACCCGAAAGAUGGUGAACUAUGCCCGGGCAGGACGAAGCCAGAGGAAACUCUGGUGGAGGUCCGUAGCGAUUCUGACGUGCAAAUCGAUCGUCGGACCUGGGUAUAGGGGCGAAAGACUAAUCGAACCGUCUA
rnacentral:rRNA from 1 species